GUUCUUUAGAAGAAAUAUGGUUCUACCUGGCUGGAAAGUCCUAGGAUCUGUUACCCUAUCAUUCCAGCCUGUUCUUUCCCCACAUGCUGAUUCCUCCCGAACUCCUGAGGUGGGGCAGUGGGAGGAAGCAUGGAUGUUUGCUACAGGCUUUGCCCCAGGCACAGGCCCCAAUAACUCACAACCUUCCCAGCUCAUUAGGCAAGUGCCUAAAAGUGUUUGAGCUUAAAUGUUGCUUCAAAAGGAGCCGAUAACUGAACCCAGGCAUUUAGAAUUUUACCCGGCGGGGGCUUCUACUCUGUCCCUCUGAGCUUGGAGUCAGGUGGCAGUCAGUAUGAUCUGGGAGAAAUCUUAAGGACAACAACAUGGGGGAAGCUAAGGUGUCAUCUGCCCUGAGGCUACCUGGGCACACGCCCAGCAGUAUAAAUAGAUUGUGGCCUCAUGUCCCCCCAGCUGUGUUCCUGCUGACAGGAGCAGGGUAGGCGGGGAUCGGCUGACACGCAGCACCCACGGGGUGAGGGAGCUGGCCAGCACUCUGGACCGCUGGGGCUUUGAGGCCGACUCCCAUCCCGGGCAGCAGCCUUGUGACAUUGGCCCUUAGCAGACAGCCCCCUGGUAAGUGGAGAAAGAGUUGAAGGGAAGGUGUUGGGAUUUGGACGUGGACUUCCUGACCCUGGAGCCUGGCCUACUGACUGGAGGAGGGGCCCCCAAGAGGCUGUGGCCCGGGAGCAGCUGAAAUUGGAAGAAGAGAAGAAGAAGAAACUUGAAAGAUUUAACAGUUCCAGAUUUAAUCUGGAUAACCUGGCUGACUUGGAAAACUUGGUUCAAAGACGGAAAAAGCGACUGAGACACAGAGUCCCCCCCAGGAAACCCGAGCCCCUGGUUAAGGUGAGUGGGAGGUCAGGGCUGGGGCAUGCCGACGCCAGGGCUCCAGUUCCAGAGGGAGAGCUUGGGGAGGAGUGGGCACUGCAGGCCAGGACCACACAGCUGGCACCUGGGGAGCCCCUGAAAUCCAUUCCAGAGCCUCCAGGGAUGUGUCCGCCAGAGAUGCCAUAACAAAGUCCCACAGCCUGGGCAGCCUCAACAGCAGGUGUGUGUCACCUCGCAGUCCUAGGAAGGCUGAGAGGAAGGUGUUGGCGAGGCUGGUUCCCUCUGGGCAGGGAGGGAAAUCCCUUCGUGCCUCUCCGGCUUCUGGUGGAUGCUGGUGAUCUUUGGCGUUCCUAGACUCUUGCCUUCAUGUUCGCUGGGUGUUCUGCCCGUGUGCACG
rnacentral:lncRNA from 10 species